rnacentral:misc_RNA from 1 species
UUGCGCGCAGCCGCCUCGAUCGCCCGGAGUGCGACCAGCGUCUGAUUGUAGCCCAUGACGCUCGCGACGGACCAUGUCGCCUGCGACUUGUAUUUUGCGACGACCAUCUGGUGGAAGUCGUGGGCUUUGGUCUUUUGCUCAGUCGGCACGGCCAUGCCGUAGACUUCAUAGUCGCCUUCCAGGUCCUUCAUGCCGCCAACGGCCUUACCUGAGGCAAUCAGGCCGUUAUGCGAACUCAUCAUGAUCGGAAUAUCGGCCUUGCCGAGCGCCUGCAGCGCACGCUUGGUCGCCACAACCGCGGCCGUGUUGGUCUGGAUAUCGAUAACUUGCACGCCCUUGCGGAUCAGGCGGCCAACCUGGGUGGUCAGAUCGGUCGGCUGAACUUCGGUAAAAAUGGUCUCGACGAUUUCAGCCUUGUCCGGGUUGUCCUUGGCGAACUU